CUGUCCAUAGCUCAGUUGGAUAGAGCACGAGCCUUCUAAGCUCGGGGUCGCACGUUCGAUUCGUGCUGGACAGG
rnacentral:tRNA from 1 species